rnacentral:misc_RNA from 1 species
CAGAGUUCAUGCCCUCACGGGUAGAUCUCCCACCCUUGAAUACUAUACCUUUGUUGCUUUGGCGGGCCGCUUCGGCUACUGGCUCUAGCUAGUGAGUGCCCGCCAAAGGAUCCCAAAACUCUGAAUAUUUGUGUCGUCUGAGUACUAUGUAAUAGUUA